rnacentral:misc_RNA from 1 species
UCUACGCCAAGGCCUAUGCGCAGCCGGGACACAUGAAGGCGGGGAUGGAAGUCUUCCGCGCGUUCGAAAAGGAUGCCGACGAUUUUGCCGGCUUUGCCAAGACCAGGCUGCCGAUGCCGAUGCUCGUGCUUUCCGGCGAGAAGGCGGGAGGGCUUUUCCUGAUCGAACAGGGCAAGCUGGUCGCGACCAAUGUCGAGGGUGUGAUCGUGAAAGGCUCCGGACACUGGCUGAUGGAGGAGGCGCCCGGUCAGGUAAUUCCGAAGCUGGUGGAUUUUCUCAAUCGCUGAUCAGCACGAAAAUU